AGCCACAUCGGGGGUGUGGUCUUUGCGCUCUUUUGCCCUGCUGGUCGCCAUUGGCCUAAGCUUGAUCCUCAGAAGUGGAUCGUUGGUGGCAUAUAGCUUUGCUACAUCCUGUACACCAAGCUUCAAAACGUCGCUGUGUGCCCCCCAUCUUUGUGCAAUAUUCUUUCCGUCAACGUAAGACUGAAUUCUGCAAGAAAGCAAGAUAACACUUCCCAAAAAAAAGCAGUUAUCGUCGCCACGCAUGCUGCAGGGCAGUGGAGACCACACGCGGCUCGGACACAUCAGUUGGCACGCCACGCCGGUCCAAACUUUCCGACCAAAUGGGAGAGAGUGCGUACUUGACGAGAAGCCCGAUUUUCUGUUUCUCGGACUUUGGAGAUUGCAGCUUCUGCAGCCUUGCAGCAUUCGCGCCCCGUGCCCCGAAUCUGUCGCCAGGCUAAGUCCCGGCGCAAAACUUCCGGUAUACGGCGCCUUGCGGUGGAGCCAGUGGGACGUCCUGGGCUUCAGAUCACCGGCUCACUGACAGCAGCACAUCCCGGUCUGCUCAAUUUGUACACUGCCGCCGACUAUAUCUGCAAGCAUCAUGGCAUUCACUCAAUCAUCUGAACACCGGAACCUCCCCUGUGCAUUCUGCGCAAGCGUGGAAUUCUGGUUAAAAGCUACACCCGAGCAACCCGCCCUUCAGUCCAGCAACAAGCUAUCUAUGGCCCGUGCUUACGUUCCACGCUUCCUCCGGGUGCAGUUCCUCGGACUUAUGAGCUUGCAGCUUCUGGAGCCUUGAGCUUUCGCGCCCCAUGCCCAGAAUCUGUCGCCAGGUGAAGUCCAGACGCAGAACUUCUGGUCUACGGGCGUAAUGCGGUGGAGCCAGUGGAGCCGUCCUGGGCUUCAGAUCACCGGCUCACUGACAGCAGAUCGCUGUCCGCGUACUUUGUACACGGCCGCCGACUAUAUCUACAAGUAUCGUGGCAUUCACUCAGUCAUCUGGAUACCGGAGCUUCCCUUGUGCAUUCUGCGCAUGCGUGGAAUUCUGUUAAAACGCAACGCCCCAGCAACGCGCCCCUCAGUGGGUCCGGCAGCAAGCUAGCGAUAGCCCUUGCUAACGUUCCACGCUUCCUGCUGGGGCAGGUAACGAACUCUUAUUGCCUUUACGCAAAUCCUAGUAGCCACCGUGCACUCUUUGUGCUGCCGGACCCACGGCGCUUUUCUUUGAUUGUCUGUGAAUGUGCACAAAUGCAAUUAAAGCUCCUCAUGCUACCUGGUGA